GAUGAACGCUAGCGGCAGGCCUAAUACAUGCAAGUCGAACGGUGUAGCAAUACAUAGUGGCGCACGGGUGCGUAACACGUAUGCAACCUACCUUAUACUGGGGGAUAGCCUUUGGAAACGGAGAUUAAUACGCCAUAGUACAUUUAGAUGGCAUCAUUUGAAUGGUAAAGAUUUAUCGGUAUAAGCUGGGCAUGCGUCCCAUUAGUUAGUUGGUGAGGUAACGGAUCACCAAGACUUUGAUUGGUAGGGGAACUGAGAGGUUAAUCCCCCACACUGGCACUGAGAUACGGGCCAGACUCCUACAGGAGGCAGCAGUAGGGAAUAUUGGGCAAUGGAGGCAACUCUGACCCAACCAUGCCGCGUGCAGGAAGAAGGCGUUAUGCGUUGUAAACUGCUUUUAUAUAGGAAGAAAUAGUCCUUGCGAGGAAAGUUGACGGUACUAUAUGAAUAAGCACCGGCUAACUCCGUGCCAGCAGCCGCCGUAA
rnacentral:rRNA from 1 species